rnacentral:rRNA from 1 species
AACGAACGCUGGCGGCGCGUCUUAAGCAUGCAAGUCGAACGGCAAGAUACCUUAGGGUAUCCUAGAGUGGCGGACUGGUGAGUAACGCGUGGAUGACGUACCCUCGUGACGGGGAUAGCCGGUAGAAAUACCGGGUAAUACCGGAUAAGGUCUCACGGAAUAAAGGCGUGAGAGGAAAGCAGCGUAUGCUGCGCAGGAGGAACGGUCUGCGGCCUAUCAGCUGGUUGGCAGGGUAAAGGCCUACCAAGGCGACGACGGGUAUCCGGCCUGAGAGGGUGAACGGACACAUUGGGACUGAGAUACGGCCCAGACUCCUACGGGAGGCAGCAGCUAAGAAUAUUCCGCAAUGGGGGGAACCCUGACGGAGCGACGCCGCGUGGACGAUGAAGGUCGGAAGAUUGUAAAGUCCUUUUAUACAUGAAGAAGAAGUUAUACAGGAAAUGGUAUGAUGGUGACGGUAGUGUAUGAAUAAG